AAUUAAUUACCUAACAAUGAGCACUAAAUCAAGUUGGUAAAGGUACUUAAGCACAAAUUAUAUACCAACCCGUAACAAUCUUCUAUAUAUAUAAUUAUGUGGGGCACAUCAAAAGAGAAAUUAAUUAAUUAGCAAUCAACCCUAAGUAGUUACAAAAAUCUUCAUCUUUUUCUUGCUUUUUUUGGUGGAAAAUCACUGGUGGAUGGCGAUGGUCCUUAUAAUAAUAAUAAUAAUAAUAAUAAUGUAGAACCGAAAGCUACCGACCACCUAAUUUUCCAAGACUAGUUAUUGUCAACAGUUUUAAAAGCUCAUCAUGCAAUGAUGACUAUGAUACAAUUCUUAAACGAACUUUUUUCAGUAAUACAUGCUAAUUAAUUAAUCAAUUAUCUGAAAUUAUUAAUUAAUAAUUCAACCCCUUCUUAUAAUUCCAAGAUCGUGUAAAACAUUAUUAAAACACAAAUAUGAAAAAAUCAAGUGGGAUUGAAAACUUUAAUAAACUUAAUUUAUUUUGUUUCCCAAAUUAUUUGAAUUGCAUAAAGGAAGGGAAAUUUCCGUGAUACUAUGAUCAGCCCCUUGAGUCAAUAAUAAUUAUCAAUCAUAAUUGACCUAUCAAGUCAGCCUUUUAACUUCGUCAACACCAUGAAGAAAAUAGGAAACUUUCAAAUUUCGGCCAGGAAAAUAAAUAAACUAAAAUAUAAUUAAAGAACGUAUGUAUGUUAAAAUUAAUUAAAGGAGAAACAAAUAAUGAAGAACGUGAAAAUGAAUUUUAUUUUGUUUCGUAAUGGAUCAGUGAAUUAAUAAGGGAUGGAAUGAAUAUGUGAAUGAUAGGUGAUGCUACUUUAUCUGUCUAUCUAUAAUAUGUGGUGGUGGGUACCACGAGCGAAUAUUCUAUCUACGUGACCUAAAACUGUUAUAUUAUACAAAUAAUAUUUGAGAAAAGGACCUCAGAGGACCAUUUAUAUAAUUACAAAUAUUCUCUGGACGAACCCGAAAAAAAAAAAGAUACAUUAAAAAAAACUACGCAGCUUUGUAGAAAUU